rnacentral:rRNA from 1 species
AACGAACGCUGGCGGCAGGCUUAACACAUGCAAGUCGAGCGCCCCGCAAGGGGAGCGGCAGACGGGUGAGUAACGCGUGGGAAUCUACCCAUCUCUACGGAAUAACGCACGGAAACGUGUGCUAAUACCGUAUACGUCCUUCGGGAGAAAGAUUUAUCGGAGAUGGAUGAGCCCGCGUUGGAUUAGCUAGUUGGUGGGGUAAAGGCCUACCAAGGCGACGAUCCAUAGCUGGUCUGAGAGGAUGAUCAGCCACACUGGGACUGAGACACGGCCCAGACUCCUACGGGAGGCAGCAGUGGGGAAUAUUGGACAAUGGGCGAAAGCCUGAUCCAGCCAUGCCGCGUGAGUGAUGAAGGCCCUAGGGUUGUAAAGCUCUUUCACCGGUGAAGAUAAUGACGGUAACCGGAGAAGAAGCCCCGGCUAACUUCGUGCCAGCCGCCGCGGUAAAAC